rnacentral:rRNA from 1 species
GACGAACGCUGGCGGCGUGCUUAACACAUGCAAGUCGAACGGAAAGGCCCUGCUUUUGUGGGGUGCUCGAGUGGCGAACGGGUAAGUAACACGUGAGUAACCUGCCCUUGACUUUGGGAUAACUUCAGGAAACUGGGGCUAAUACCGGAUAGGAGCUCCUGCUGCAUGGUGGGGGUUGGAAAGUUUCGGCGGUUGGGGAUGGACUCGCGGCUUAUCAGCUUGUUGGUGGGGUAGUGGCUUACCAAGGCUUUGACGGGUAGCCGGCCUGAGAGGGUGACCGGCCACAUUGGGACUGAGAUACGGCCCAGACUCCUACGGGAGGCAGCAGUGGGGAAUAUUGCACAAUGGGCGGAAGCCUGAUGCAGCAACGCCGCGUGCGGGAUGACGGCCUUCGGGUUGUAAACCGCUUUCGCCUGUGACGAAGCGUGAGUGACGGUAAUGGGUAAGGAAGCACCGGCUAACUACGUG